rnacentral:rRNA from 1 species
GACGAACGCUGGCGGCGUGCUUAACACAUGCAAGUCGAACGAUGAAGCAAAGAAUCGAAGCUUCGGCAGAAAUUCAUUUCGGAUUAGUGGCAGACGGGUGAGUAACGCGUGAGCAACCUACCUCUUACAAAGGGAUAGCCUCGGGAAACCGGGAUUCAUACCAUAUAACAUUGUGACGAAGCAUUUCGAUGCAAUCAAAGCUACGGCGGUAAGAGAUGGGCGCGCGUCCCAUUAACCGGAUGGUGAGGUAACGGCUCACCAUAGUGACGAUGGGUAACCGGGAUGGGAGGGUGAACGGUCACACUGGAGCUGAGACACAGUCCAGACUCCUACGGGAAGCAGCAGUGGGGAAUAUUGCAAAACGGAGGGAACUCUGAUGCAGCGACGCCGCGUGAGUGAUGAAGGAAUUCGUUAAGUAAAACUCUGUUAUAUGGGAAGAAAAGGACGGUACCAAAGGAGAAAGCUCCGGCUAACUACGUG